ACUGAUCACUCUCCUAAGUUCACUUCCUCAAAAUGAUGAGUCCUGCCCAGUUCCUGUUUCUGCUAAUGCUCUGGAUCCAGGAAACCGGCGGAGAUGUUGUGAUGACCCAGACACCAGCGUCCUUGUCGGUUGCCAUUGGACAACCAGUCUCCAUCUCUUGCAAGUCAAGUCAGAGCCUCGUAGAUAGUGAUGGAAAGACAUAUUUGCAUUGGUUAUUACAGAGUCCUGGUCAAUCUCCGAAGCGCCUAAUCUAUCAGGUGUCUAAUCUGGGCUCUGGAGUCCCUGACAGGUUCAGUGGCACUGGAUCAGAGAAAGAUUUUACACUUAAAAUCAGCAGAGUAGAGGCUGAGGAUUUGGGAGUUUAUUACUGCCUGCAAACUACACAUGUUCCUCCCACAGUGAUACAGACCCUAACAAAAACUCCCUUGCCAGGGGCAGCCCACCUGCCAAUGUGA